rnacentral:rRNA from 1 species
UACAGAGGUGGCGAGCGUUGUUCGGAUUUACUGGGCGUAAAGGGUGCGUAGGCGGCAUCGUAUGUCGGAUGUGAAAUCUCACGGCCCAACCGUGAAAUGGCAUCCGAAACUACGGAGCUAGAGUACAGGAGAGGUGAGCGGAAUUCUCGGUGUAGCGGUGAAAUGCGUAGAUAUCGAGAGGAACACCGGUGGCGAAAGCGGCUCACUGGACUGAUACUGACGCUGAGGCACGAAAGCCAGGGUAGCAAAAAGG